rnacentral:rRNA from 1 species
GAUGAACGCUGGCGGCGUGCCUAAUACAUGCAAGUCGAGCGAACGGACGAGAAGCUUGCUUUUCUGAUGUUAGCGGCGGACGGGUGAGUAACACGUGGAUAACCUACCUAUAAGACUGGGAUAACUUCGAGAAACCGGAGCUAAUACCGGAUAAUAUUUUGAACCGCAUGGUUCAAAAGUGAAAGACGGUCUUGCUGUCACUUAUAGAUGGAUCCGCGCUGCAUUAGCUAGUUGGUAAGGUAACGGCUUACCAAGGCAACGAUGCAUAGCCGACCUGAGAGGGUGAUCGGCCACACUGGAACUGAGACACGGUCCAGACUCCUACGGGAGGCAGCAGUAGGGAAUCUUCCGCAAUGGGCGAAAGCCUGACGGAGCAACGCCGCGUGAGUGAUGAAGGUCUUCGGAUCGGAAAACUCUGUUAUUAGGGAAGAACAUAUGUGUAAGUAACUGUGCACAUCUUGACGGUACCUAAUCAGAAAGCCACGGCUAACUACGUG